GGUCGACGAUUCCUACGGGAGGCAGCAGUGGGGAAUUGUUCGCAAUGGGCGCAAGCCUGACGACGCAACGCCGCGUGGAGGAUGAAGACCUUCGGGUCGUAAACUCCUUUCGACCGAGAAGAAUGGCUCCCGACCUAAUACGUCGGGAGCAUGACGGUAUCGAGGGAAGAAGCCCCGGCUAACUCUGUGCCAGCAGCCGCGGUAAUA
rnacentral:rRNA from 1 species